rnacentral:rRNA from 1 species
UACGUAGGGGGCAAGCGUUGUCCGGAUUUACUGGGCGUAAAGAGCGUGUAGGCGGCCACGCAGGUCCGUUGUGAAAACUGGAGGCUCAACCUCCAGCUGUCGACGGAAACCGUGUGGCUAGAGUCCGGAAGAGGAGAGUGGAAUUCCUGGUGUAGCGGUGAAAUGCGCAGAUAUCAGGAAGAACACCGGUGGCGAAGGCGGGUCUCUGGGCAGUAACUGACGCUGAGGAGCGAAAGCGUGGGGAGCGAACAGG